rnacentral:lncRNA from 1 species
ACCCGAUUUCAGGUGGAAUCUUAUUUCACUGAGCAGACUGGAUUCGAGAAGCUACAGGAUGGUAGCUGGUGGAGGAAUCCUGAGGGUGCUAUGCGGCGAUAAGAUUGUGCUGGAGGGGAAGAAGGAAAGUAGAGAACAUUAUUACCUGACAGAGAGCCCAGUGUGAGGUAGAGCUUGGGGAGCCAGGGGGAGCUCUGAGCAAGGUGGAGCUUCAGGUGGAGAUAAAUCAGGCACGAGACAGGAGACUUGGGAGGAUGAAAGGCGAUGUCGUAAGGUGAG